rnacentral:lncRNA from 1 species
UUUUUUUUUUUUGUUUGUUUUUUUUAAGCUGCGGGCUUCACAAGCAUUGGAGUGGUUUGGGCCAGCUGUUAAGACACAACGAAGUGGGAAACACCAGGGCACUUGGCACAUUUCUUUCAUUAAGCCUUUCUUCCCUUAUGGAGACAAGUGGGUAGACUGGACUCCAAUGAAUAAAAACAUACCUGUUACUAUGGAUUACAAUCAUAAGGGUUAAAACCCAGACCACAAAUCAUGUGUCCAGAUAAUUACUAAAAACUAGAAAAAACAAAGGAAAAUUCCAAAGAAGAGUUUCACUUAGGCUUAAAAUUGAGUCCAAAAAUUUGACUCAACGUUGUACUAGGAAUGUUUAUACAGAAUGCCAUGGACGGUUUUGGACAAUUUAUAAGGCUGAACUUCCUUGGUACAUUCACUGUUAAGACUGCUCAACAGGCUCCGGGGCAGCGCUCUAUAACCGAACAUUUUCUGUAGUAUGUUAUAUGCAUAUUCAUACUAAGAGGAAAAAAAGAGAUUAUGAAAAGCUUUGGGGUGUUUGGCUCGAAGAGCAUAGGACUCCAUCUUGGGGUUGAGUUUGAGCCCAUUAGGUGUAGAUGACUUAAAAACAAGCAAAAAAUUAUGAAAAGCUCCGUGUCAGGUCUCGUAUCAAAUUUGAAAAAAAAACCCACUUCUAGUUUCUCAGGUCUUUGUGCACUCUGAAUUAGAAAAAUGAUCAUGGCCUCUAUCUCAGUCUGAGGAAAGGUGGGGGAGGUGGAAGAAUGCAGCUGGAGGACAGAUUUCAUCCUGAGAAGCAAAGUGGUAGAACACUGGCUACUGAUCAUUACCCAAUAUGCCUUCUUCCAAUACCUUAAAUAUUUUUUUAAAGAUCUUAUUUGUUCAUGAGACACAGAGAGGCAGACAUAGGCAGAGGCAGAUGCAAGUAGGGAGCCUGAUGUGGAACUCGACCCCGGUACUCCAGGAUCAUGCUCUGAGCUGAAGGCAGGUGCGCCUAACUGCUGAGCUACCCAAGUGUCCCAAUACCUUAAAUAUUCACAGCAACUUAUUUUGAAAAGCCUUUUGAAAGUUUCAUAUAACCCCAAAUCCAGGAGUGCAUGGGACAAGGGUGUGGGUGCACUAUCAGUAAUUUGCCAUGUCCUAAGAUGCCCAUCUUGAGGGCACUGUUAUUUACAUCUUACACUUGUUGAACCUGAGGCAGAGGAAUUAGGCUGUGAAGCAGCCCACAUGAGGUGGGAAGGGCAGGGCCUUGGAUUUAUUCUUGAAAUGGACAGAGGUAAGGGGUCUAAAAAAGGUUUGCAUCAAAGUUUUUGGUCUAGGAAAGAUACAGGGCUUGAAAAUACAAGUAUUUGCAGACCAAGGACCUGGUCUAUUUUUUUAAAAAAUAUUUUAUUUAUUCAUGAGAUCCCAAGACCGAGACCGAGAGAGAGGCAGAGAUACAGGCAGAGGGAGAAGCAGAGACACAGGCAGAGGGGGAAGCAGGCUCCAUGCAGGGAGCCCGAUGUGGGACUCGAUCCGGGGAUCCCAGGAUCACACUCUGAGCCAGUCAGAUGCUCAACUGCUGAGCCACCCAGGUGUCCCUACAAGAAACUUUCUACAUCAGGAGAGCAGAACAGGUGUAAGAGGCUGUAGUCUUUGUUGAUGUCACUUAGGAAUCACUUUGUUGCAGGAAUUUCACAGUUGAUUAUGCAAUCUUGCCUAAAGCCAGGAUGACAUUUCACUUCCUGACAGGCAGGCAGCAGAUGCCCCCUCACUGUGGCCUACCUGCAAGGCAGGAAUGGCGUUCUUCCUGCCAGCUCCCACUGCCUUGGGUCCCCAAAGGCUCAGAAUGCUUCCUCAUACCAAGUACCCAACAUCAACCAGUGGUGGCAGCCACAAGGCCUAUUUUCCUGGUUCAGUGAGCCAAUCAAGAGGUGUGAGAAGUUCCCUAGCCUCCAUCCACUUGCCAAAGUAGAUUCAUGACUGGUUGGGUAGAAGGGUCUAUGGGGCCUUUCCAACUAACUGGAGCCAGGGAGGCAGACCUCCAAUACUGGAACUCUUCCAACAGACCUAUAAUCUCAGUUCAGGGAACUAAAAAUACCAGAGUGGGCAGCUUAUCAACUUCUCAGUUCUGGAGCCUGGAAGUCCAUCAAGGUGCCAGCAGGGCUGAGCUCUAGGGAGAUCCCUUUUCCAAACUACCAAUUUCUUGUAUCCUCAUGUGGCUGAGAACAGAGGAAAGCCUUCUUGGGACUUGUGAGGGCACUACCCACUCUUCAUCACCUUAUCUAAUGAAAAUCACCCAAGACCAUCAUAUUGGGGAAAGGAGGGUUUCCAUAGGACUUUUGAGGGAACACACUGAAUUCAUUCACUCCAUGAAUGAGGAAAUGAGGCGUUAACGAUGUCCUGGAACUGGUGAUCAAGUGGUACCGACUUUGCAUCAACUAGGUGGAAGCCAUGGACACAACUGAUUUAGAAAUUCCAAAGGAAGGGAUAAAAGCCAACAGGACUCCCAAUGUAGCCACUCAAACCAGGACUGAAGGGACUGGCAGUAGGACUGAGGAACUAAGAUUAGCUCUAAGUGCAAAACCAUUGCCACCACCUCACCACCAGACUCAUACCACCGAAGACUGAAUCCCUAUGACAAAGAGCUGUCUCAAGGACUGUACAUGCCUAUUAAACGUACUUAACCCUCAUGAAGAAAUGUGACAUGCUCAUGAGGUUGAGGCCCACAGGUUAAGUGUCCUACCCAAGGUCAAAUAGCUGGAAGGCAGCAGACACUGCAUUUGUGUCCUGGAGUCUGAGUCCAGUCUGAGCCCUUAGAAACUGGUUUUCAAAUCAGGAUUUUUCCACGUUCCUCAGACAAGGUUGAGUUUAAUAGAUUUCUUCCACCUCCCAACAUUUCAAAGAAAAUGGAAAUGCUUUUUAUAACAUGGUUUAACUCCCACCAGGUGCUUACAUUCUCAGAACAAUCCUGUGAGGACACCCACUGAUGCUCAGAGAAGCUAAGGAGACUCAAACCCUAGCAGUCUGAUUCUCAAGCUGACCAAAAAAAAAAAAAAAAAAAAAAA